rnacentral:lncRNA from 1 species
CGAAGAAGUUUUCAAGAAGCAUGGGACGUUGGCCGAUGCUACAACCAAAGAAAAGAAGGAAGACCUUAAGCUCUCUAAUUUAGGAGGAUCCCCGAAGGAGUCAGCUAUAGUCUAGACAUCCACCCUUAUGCCAACAAUCCAAUUCUCUUCCUCGAGACCGAUGACCUAGAAGCCCCUGCAAAUAACAUCACCCAUCACCGACAUGCUUGUCCCAACAGAGGAAGUUCACUAACUAUACUCCCAUGAACACAUCUAGAACUCAAGUGCUCAUAG